GGCAUAAUUUGACAUGGAUAAGUGGCUGAGAAACUUCUCAACCUAUCCCAUUCCUCGAACUAUAAGCAAACAAAUUCCUUAAGAACAUGAUGUUUAAUGGUAGUGAUAAGCCUAAUUAUCAUUCAAAAAAUAAUUAUUGAAUUUUGAAUCAUGCAAGAUUUGCUUGACUUCUAUAAGUAAUCAAAAUUCUCAUUUUCUAGAUUUAAUUAGAUUCACCUUCCUCCCUAAUCGAAGGUGACAUGUGAUUCAGGUUGCCCAAGAUGACGUGAAGGCAUAAUUUGACAUGGAUAAGUGGCUGAGAAACUUCUCAACCUAUCAAGCAAACAAAAUCCUUAAGGACAGGAUGUUCAAUGGUAGUGAUAAGCCUAAAUAUCAUUCAAAAAAUAAUUAUUGAAUUUUGAAUCAUGCGAAGAUGUGCUUGACUUCUAGAAGUAAUCAAAAUUCUCAUUUUCUAGAUUUAAUAAGAUUCACUUCUCUUAAAAUCAAAAUUUAAUUCAGGAAAGGUUUUUCUUAAUCAAGUGCUUAAUAGGAAAGGGAAAAAUAGAAGGAAACGGAACCAAUAAAAUAGAAGGCCAUGGAAAGAGUUGCAAGUCUGAAGAAAUUUAGGCAAACAUGCUGGACACUGGCUUACUCUUUAUGAAAAUGUAGGACUUGACCUUGCUUUUAUGAAACUACAGCAAUCGUAAUAGAUUGCAUCUACAUGGCAGAUCUAUAAAUAUACUGUAAGAAACCAUAACAAUUAUCCUUAGCCACCUAUGUCAACUUAGCAAAUGAUGUUUUGUACAAGACC
rnacentral:lncRNA from 1 species